UUGCUUCAGCAGCAUGUACACUAAAACGGAAAUGACACAGAGAGUAGCAUGGCUUCUGUACCGGGAUGACAUGCAAAUUUGUGAAGAGAUCUUUCAGGUA
ensembl:snRNA U6 U6 spliceosomal RNA